rnacentral:rRNA from 1 species
GCUUGUCUCAAAGAUUAAGCCAUGCAUGUCUAAGUACAAGCCUCAGUAAGGUGAAACUGCGAAUGGCUCAUUAUAUCAGUUAUAGUUUAUUUGAUGGUUCUUGCUACUUGGAUAACCGUAGUAAUUCUAGAGCUAAUACAUGCAUCAAACCCCGACUUCUGGAAGGGGUGUAUUUAUUAGAUGGAAACCAAUGCGGGGCAACCCGGAAUAUGGUGAUUCAUAAUAACUUUCGGAUCGAUUUAUCGAUGCAUCAUUCAAGUUUCUGCCCUAUCAGCUUUGGAUGGUAGGGUAUUGGCCUACCAUGGCUUUAACGGGUAACGGAGAAUUAGGGUUCGAUUCCGGAGAGGGAGCCUGAGAAAUGGCUACCACAUCCAAGGAAGGCAGCAGG